rnacentral:rRNA from 1 species
AUGAACGCUGGCGGCGUGCCUAAUACAUGCCAGUCGAGCGAACAGACGAGGAGCUUGCUCCUCUGACGUUAGCGGCGGACGGGUGAGUAACACGUGGAUAACCUACCUAUAAGACUGGGAUAACUUCGGGAAACCGGAGCUAAUACCGGAUAAUAUAUUGAACCGCAUGGUUCAAUAGUGAAAGACGGUUUUGCUGUCACUUAUAGAUGGAUCCGCGCCGCAUUAGCUAGUUGGUAAGGUAACGGCUUACCAAGGCAACGAUGCGUAGCCGACCUGAGAGGGGGGUCGCCCACACGGGAACUGGAACACGGUCCAGACUCCUACGGGAGGCAGCAGAAGGGAAUCUUCCGCAAUGGGCGAAAUCCUGACGGAGCAACGCCGCGUGGGUGAUGAGGGUCUUCGGAUCGUAAAACUCUGUUAUUGGGGAAGAACAGAUGUGUAAGUGACUAUGCACGUCUUGACGGUACUUAAUCAGAAAGCCACGGCUAACUACGUG